GUGCUUUUGUAAAGAAUAUCCAUCCAUCAAUUCCUAUCCAAAGACCGAAGAAGACUAGAUCUCAAAGUCUCAAAGGAAAGCAAACCCUAAGUCCUUAUCCAGUUGAGUACUUACACUAAAAUCUGAGUGAGCUCUUUCUUCUUAGUCCCUUUCUGCUGCUAUUGCAAGAACAGCUGAAGAUUGAAAGUGGCGAAGAUCCAGAACCAGAAUAGCAUAAGAACAAGGUUUAAGACUGUAAUGGUGUUGUUAACUAGUGGAGUGAUUCUGAUUAAGAAGAAGAAAAAGAGGAAGAAGAGUGUUUUUGGGUAAUUUGUUGUUUGGUUUGUGCGGCCUCGGAAAUUAAUCACACACCAUUAGCUGAACCUGUUGUUGUUCCAUAUUUCCCAAAGAUAUGUUGUCAGGGAUAAAGAUCAGUCUUAGUCUAGGAAAUACAGAGGAGAUUGUAAAACUCCAACUGCUAUAUAUUUCCCAAAGAUAUGUUGUCAGGGAUAAAGAUCAGUCUUAGUCUAGGAAAUACAGAGGAGAUUGUAAAACUCCAACUGCUAUAUAUUUCCCAAAGAUAUGUUGUCAGGGAUAAAGAUCAGUCUUAGUCUAGGAAAUACAGAGGAGAUUGUAAAACUCCAACUGCUAUAUAUUUCCUAAAGAUGGAUUAAGGUGCAUCUGGAAUGUGCAAUUAGGACAAUAUCUAUUGACCCAAUUGUGGAUUGCACGAAUAUGGAAGAAACCACAUAUUGUUCCCUAUUUCCAAAAGAGAUGAGGAGGGGGUAAAGAUUUAUUAGCUCUUGUAUUCCAUGUGUAGAGAGUAGUACUUUCCUUCUAGAUUCGUCUUCUAAGACUUGAAAUCCAAGUGAUGAAAUGGAAGACAUAGAUGUCAUGCAAAAGUUGGAGACCUUUAUGAGCUUAAAGUGAAACACAAGUGGAUCAUGCUAUGGUUGUGAUGUGUGAAAUUAGUCGGUUAAGUGUAGCGUUAAGGUGAAAUCGUAGUUCAGUAAAUGUAAUAUCACAAAAUUCAUUCAUUGAUGUAACUGUAUACGUUUCAACAAUGUAAUCCAGUGUUUGUAAUGUCAUAAAACUUAGUCAUCUUGCAAUAUUACU